rnacentral:rRNA from 1 species
UACGUAGGGACCAAGCGUUGUUCGGAUUUACUGGGCGUAAAGGGCGCGUAGGCGGCUUAACAAGUCACUUGUGAAAUCUCCGGGCUUAACUCGGAACGGCCAAGUGAAACUGUCAAGCUAGAGUGCAGAAGGGGCAAUCGGAAUUCUUGGUGUAGCGGUGAAAUGCGCAGAUAUCGGGAGGAACACCUAUGGCGAAGGCAGCUCGCUGGGACGUUACUGACGCUGAGACGCGAAAGCGUGGGGAGCAAACAGG